rnacentral:rRNA from 1 species
GAGGAAUAUUGGUCAAUGGGCGCAAGCCUGAACCAGCCAUCCCGCGUGCAGGAAGACGGCGCUAUGCGUUGUAAACUGCUUUUCCAGGGAGAGAAACUUGCGCACGUGUUGCGCAAUUGACGGUACCCUGGGAAUAAGCAUCGGCUAACUCCGUGCCAGCAGCCGCGGUAAUACGGAGGAUGCGAGCGUUAUCCGGAUUCAUUGGGUUUAAAGGGUGCGUAGGCGGACUAUUAAGUCAGUGGUGAAAUCCUGCAGCUUAACUGCAGAACUGCCAUUGAUACUGAUAGUCUUGAGUUUGGUUAAGGUAGGCGGAAUGUGUAAUGUAGCGGUGAAAUGCUUAGAUAUUACACAGAACACCAAUUGCGUAGGCAGCUUACUGAGCCGACACUGACGCUGAGGCGCGAAAGCGUGGGGAUCGAACAG